rnacentral:lncRNA from 1 species
GCAUUUAGUCAUAUUAGUAGACAAUUGCUUAAAGGUGUCAUGGUAAUAAGAUUUGAUGGAGGAAAGUCACUUUUAAUUUUUUGUCAUUUCUCAUCACAUUCAUUUAUGCUGGACAAUGCCUAGAGGAAAUAAACCAAAUCGAUCAUUGCUCUAUCCUUAGUGGCAGCUAUGCUUGAAAUAUUUGCCUUCAUCACGUCUUUCUCACGCUAUAUGUCACUUCCUACUUCUCCUCUUGCAGUGCUCUACUUUUGCACUUGAAUUCUUGGCCUUGAUCAUGUUCCUUCCCAAGCAGCAUGUAUUGACUCCAUGCUUGACAUCCAUGACAUUCGUUAGGUUUUCUGCUUCUUUGCCCACUUUAUGCUGUUUCAAAAUAAAACUGAGGUAAGAAUUCAUUUAAUUCUUUCUUCUUUUGCCAUUGGUCAUCCAUACAUUAAUCACGAUAUUGCGUGUGACAAGUAUGUUAGAAUUGUAGCGAUAAAUAACACAAAUGUAUUUUUACCAAAAGAUAGCACAAAUAUUUUUUGACUCAACUUCAUCUUACAUUGUCCAUUAUUAGUAAUAAAAAUUCUCCAUAUGAGUGCUAGUAUCUCAUUUUUAUGUUAGUGUCGGUAUUAUACUAACUAUAUAUAACUCCAUAAUUAAGUAAACCUUAUUUUUUCAUCGAUCAAGCUAAACCUAUAUAUAACUCGAUUAAUCCUGUAUUUAUAAAAUUUUACAAAUCAACUGUUCAAACAUGAGAACCAGUCAUCAAUCUAUACACAACAAAGAAAGCAGGGAUUAAGUCACUGGUAUCAACACAUCCAAGUGAUAUUAAACCUUCUACCAAGGACAGUCAAGUCCUCUUCUUGCAACCAAUAAACUUGACUAGAAAUAGCUUCAGGAUUUUGCAGCUGCCAAAAAAGGGCCCUUGAACCCAAUAUUUAUAAAUUCUUUUAUUUAUCCUAGUUCCCAUUAUAUCUAGGUUUAUAAUUUUCUAGGUUUUAUUAAGGCCAUUUAUUCCAUGGGCCAAGCACUAUUUUCACCACUUCAUGACUAGGUCCUCCAAUCAAAGUUUUAAAAAAUCAUGCACUGCUGAUGGAACAUAUAAGGUAUCAUACUUCAAAAGAUUUUUUCCUGCAUAUAUACCUUUACAAGUAUGUACAUGCAGCGAAUUUUGGAGGAUAAAUAUGCGAUAAGUCAUAUUUUAAAUUGUAACAAUAAGUGUGUGGAUGAUAUGUUAUUCAGUAGAUGGUUGAAAAAUGUUAGGCUGGCUCAGCUCAGACAACUUAGGCUUAGGUUCGGUUUGUUAACAGCACUAUUAACAUGAUCGAUAUAAAGGAAACAUUAAAUUGCAACGCGAUCAUAAAAACACAAUAUACAAAUCCUUAAACUUGUGCUAUCCGAUUACCUUCACGAUUUCCGGCGAUCGUAAUCCCCUGGCGACGGCCGUCGUGCUCUCCUAGGGGGUCUUUGGCCUCCCUAGUCUUGCCACUCCCUCCCCCACACUAAUUUGGUCUUGACUUCUAUCCAAAGCCACCACCAGCCUAUAAUUCCCCAUAAUUGCCAACACCAAGGAACUGUGCUAUGUUUGAGGGCAAUAGGGUGACCCAAGGGAUGAUGGGAGGACCUCUGCUUUGACCUUAUGGAUGGAUUUGAACUGUUGGAGAGCCAUGAGCUCCCAACCAUUAGGAAUGGAUCAAACCCUUAAGGGCAAGCCAUGGAAAAAAGUGGAGCUCCAUUGAGGUCAGGUGAUCUAGCUCUUAGGUAUGGAUGGUAUUGGACAUAUAUCCAAGGCAUUGAAGGGACCCCUUCUAAUGACUUUGGGCUUGCCGAUGCCCCAAAAGGGUGAUGUAGUGGCUCUUUUGGCUUCAUAAGGCUUCUAUUGUGG